UGGGUCCAUAGUUAGUGACUGUGACCCUGAAAGUUCAACAGCCCUCUAUGCAGCAACGUCACUACUUCUCCUCUUCUACCUCAACUCGGUCUACUCAACUCUUUAGCUCUGGCUUUGUGUGUUCCUUGCGGUGAACCCGCAAGUUCGUUCAGCCAGGUCUAGCGAGUUUGUCGGUGGGCCAAAAUUCAAUCCUACACACUCUAAUAUCCCACACGGAUAUCACACACAUGGUCAACUUAAUCGCCGAGACCUUCGUCUUCUUUAUUUUAUUCACUGCCACCCAAUUUAAAUUCGGAUUUUUAUAGUUGCAUGCGUGCAAGUCGCGCACGCGUUAGACCGGAAAUUUGAGGUAUUGUUCCAUUUUGUUACUUUCCGGCUUCUAAUGUCAUCGCACUCACUGUCUUGAUUAUUUUUAUCUUCAAUAACGAGCUAAAAUUAAACAGCCUGUAGUUGUAACUGCAACUACCAAGUAAAUUGUCGAGUCGAGGGUGCAAUUGCUAUUAUUGAUCAGUAUCAUACAGCGGGGGUUCAAUACACAUCCACAUACAUGGACAUUAAAAUAAAUAUAUAGAGACGAGCUAACGCGUGUCAGGUUUACAUGCCAGCCACGGUUGCAUGUUACAACUUACUAUGUACUUUUAAU